rnacentral:rRNA from 1 species
GUACACACCGCCCGUCGCUACUACCGAUUGAAUGGCUUAGUGAGGCGUUCGGAGAGCCUAUAGGGUGCUGGCAACAGUGCUUUACUGGUUCAAAGUUCUACGAACUUGGUCAUUUAGAGGAAGUAAAAGUCGUAACAAGGUUUCCGUAGGUGAACCUGCGGAAGGAUCAUUAAUACAUGUUGAGCGCACUUUAAUGUGACUCUUUGUAUAAACCAUUACCCCCCAAACCCAGAGGUGCAUUGUGGCCCGUCAAAAGGUUAGCAGUGUAUCAGUACGUAUCUCAAAGGCAACUUUGAUUUACAUUACCCAUCAUUUACCCCCAUUUACACUUAAGAAGUUUUAAGAAUGAUAACCAUAACUAUAUAACUUUCAGCAAUGGAUCUCUAGGCUCUCACGUCGAUGAAGAACACAGUGAAAUGUGAUACGUAAUGUGAAUUGCAGAAUUCAGUGAAUCAUCGAAUCUUUGAACGCACCUUGCACCUUUUGGUUAUUCCGAAAGGUACGCCUGUUUGAAUGUCACGAAACCCCCCUCGGCCCUCAUUCUUUCUAAAAGCAUGGGGGACGGAUUCUGAGUGUUGGCGUGUCAACGCCUCGCUUCAAAUAGAUUAGCACUUUUGGAUGGUAUACUAUUAGUUCAAAAGACGUACUUGAUGUUGUAUUUAUAUUUCAUUGAGGCAGUCUUUGGUCGCUCCGACUAUCCGCUAAUAGGGCAACUUGAAGAAUAGCUUCCUAACCCUAUCAACUUAAUUAAGUAAUUAAUUAAUCUUUAGACUUCAAAUCAGGUGGGACUACCCGCUGAACUUAAGCAUAUCAAUAAGCGGAGGAAAAGAAAAUAACUAUGAUUCCCUUAGUAACGGCGAGUGAACAGGGAAAAGCCCAAAUUUGUAAUCUGGCACUUUUUACAAGUGUCCGAGUUGUAAUUUGUAGAACUGUUAUCCGCGCUGGACCAUGUACAAGUCUGUUGAAAAGCAGCAUCAUUGAAGUGAAAAUCCUGUAGAUGAUAUGGACUACCAGUGCAUUUGUGAUACGGUUUCUAAGAGUCGAGUUGUUUGGGAAUGCAGCUC